GGCUUAGGGCAGGAAGAGAACUGCUAAGGCAGUUUCUCCUAGAAGAUGAGACCUGCAGCCAGGUCCAGCUUGGUGACCUAGAACUGGUCUGCAUGUGUCAUUGCUGGGUGCUCCACCCUGCUCCCCUGAGAUCAUGUUG
rnacentral:sRNA from 1 species